rnacentral:rRNA from 1 species
UAACGAGGAACGAUCGGAGGGCAAGUCUGGUGCCAGCAGCCGCGGUAAUUCCAGCUCCAAUAGCGUACGUUAAAGUUGCUGCAGUUAAAAGCUCGUAGUUGAACGUUCGGGUUCCGCGGGACGGGGCCGCCCCGCGAGGGACGGCGCCGCCCCGGGGCUCGUGAUAUCUCAUCUCGCCGCCCGUCGCGAGGCGGACGGAGGGAUGGAUGAGGUUACCUGGAAAAAAUCGGGGCGAUCUAGGCGGGCGAACCUCGCCAACGAACGAUCGGACAUGGGAUAACGGAAGAGGGCGUCGGCUCGACUUCGUCGGUUCCUCGGGCCGAGGCACGUACGGUGAAUAGGGACGGUCGGGGCCGCCCGUACCGGGUCGUGAGAGGUGAAAUUCUAGGAUCGACCCGAGACGAACCGCCGCGAAAGCAUUCGGCAAGGACGCUUUCAUUAAUCAAGAACGAAAGUCGGGG